GUUGCCAUAAACCCGUAGAUCCGAACUUGUGCUGUGCCCCUCUCACAAGCUCGAGUGUGCGGGUCUGUGUCGGCUU
ensembl:miRNA